rnacentral:snRNA from 1 species
ACACUUACUUGAAGGGGAGAGUUACCAUGAUUAUGAAGGUGAUUAUCUCAGGAUGGAGCUCAUCUGUUGCACCCUGGUUGUGCUGUCUCCUGUGAUUUUCUCAAAUGUGGAAAACUUGACUGCAUAAUUUGUGGUAGUGGUGAAAUAUGUUCUUGCUCCCCU